rnacentral:lncRNA from 1 species
CUUAAAUCACUAAUCACUCAGGUCUGGGUGCUCACAGGUAGGAAUAUUCAGCCAGGGGCACACAGAAGGGUUUCAGGAGCAGUGUCUGGUUUUGCCACACUCAGCCCCUCAUUAGACAUCACAACACGGAAAGCUGAGCAUGAGAAAACCAAUGCAGCUACUUCGUGAACGUUUCCCACAUCAGGAGAAGAAAGAGCCCCUGGUAGGUCAGGAGAGGCAUGCAGGUCUCCUUAUCUUUUAUCUUGUGUUUGAGGCACUGCUCCAUCACCUCCACCAGCUGAGCUUCUCCUUGCUUGCCAUGAAGGUGGGGUGGUGAAAGCAAAGAAUAUCGACGUGAACACUGCAUGAGCUGAACUGGGGAAGAUAAAAAGACUUACAAAUAGGGAUUGAAAGUCAACUAAGAAGAUGAAAAGCAAAAAGUAUCCUUUUUAUUUAUCGGAAAGAUAAAUAUUUUCAGUUUUCCCUUUAUUCCUGCUCCUUUCACUAAGAAAAGUGUUUUGUUUCCCAAAAGCCUUACAUGGCAUUUUUUCACCUUUUUCAGUUUUUAAAACAUGUUAUUACCACUACUUCUACUGUCAUAUAUUCAGAUAACAUCAAUGUAUUUUCCAAAUGUUUCAAAAGAAAAAGCACUUUGUUUAUAUCCCAGAUCUAAAUUUACAGUCUGUUGUGUUUGUCGUGUUUUGUUUUGUUUUGUUUCCCCCCCUGCAAUCUCACAAAGCCAAUGCAUUUUCAUUUAUAUUUACAGCCUUCCAUCCCCAUCACCUUCCCUACCAGGCCCCGUGCAGACAGGCUCCCCCACCCAACCCCUCUCCAGCUCCAUCAGCUGUCACCGGCCCACAUUCCUGCAGGACUCCCAGAAUUGGCAGCCCUGGACAUCUGCUCUUUUCCACCCCCACAAAUAUGCAAGCAGGUGUGAGGCACCACAACUUCCCUUGUUCCUCACCAUUUUUACCCGGGCAGUGUGAAUGAAGGCACAGCCAGAAGGGCAGAUGCUCUGCCCCACUCCAUCCUCCUUGCAUCCCUCCAGGAAAUGUAGAGAAGUGAAAAUGAAUCUCUCCACCACCACUGAAGUAAGACAAGAAAAGAUGAAUCUUACAUCUUUUUUGCCUGGACAUAAUUCCCUCAUAAUUUUAACAGGGACUUCACACUAAUGACAAAAACCAGAAAAAUCUUCUUGGUGCAGUGCCGCACACAGUUACAAAGAAGUAUCUGGAGCACAUGCUUCUUAGGUCAGUAAACCUACACAAUAAUGCACGAAAUAAAUACCAGUCAUAUUAUUGUCA